UGUAAUGUAGGGAUAAUUUUUUUCACAGUCCCAGUGAUAUACUAAUUUAAAGAUACCUGUGGCCUUGGCAAAUGAGAAAAACAAACCACAAAAAAAUGAAAAUAAGAUACUGAACAAACUUUGCUUGGGGCUCGACUGUGAUCUGAUUCAAGGAAGGUGGGCUGUGUCCCUGUGCGCGCGCCGCGCCGCCGGGAGCAGGGAGCCGCGUCUCCAGACCGUGUAAAUCCGAGCGCCAGCCGCGGCACCCGGGCUGGGAACGGCAGCGCAGCGGUCCUGUGGGCUGAGCUGAUGGAGAAUAUGUCGUUGGUGCUGGACAGGAGAGAAAGAGUUUUCUUUAAAAAUAAAACCUUCUCACCUUAACGAGGAACAUUUUUCCCCACUGGUUUUAAUGGUAUAAUAAAUUGAGGGAGAGCAAAGAAAAAGCUCCUGAAAAUGAACCAUAAAAAAAGUUGCUGGAGACUGAGGGCAGGUUUUGCAGAGGAAGAGGCAAGAGUAGCAAGCUAAUUUACUUUGCCUUUCUGUUCAGGUUUCCUCUGUAAACAGCUUGGGUCUCUAAGACUCUUUGGAAGGGCAUAUUCCCAAGGGUGUUUCACCUUCCCUGUGGCUGCACAGGAGCAGUGGGGUGAAGAGGACUAGGGUGCUCCUCUGUGGGAAGGUCAUGAUGCUGCAAGAAUGAGGAGUGAACCCAAAAUGGUGAUUUUGGCCCAGCCAGGUGUGGUGCCAUGAGGGAUUUGCUGCCAGAAACCUUUCUCCUCCAGGUUUGCCUUAACUCAGUGGCCACAGGGUGCACAUUUCCCCUUUGUGCUGAGCACAGCAGGUUGGGGGCUGUCACAGCCCACACCCACGGGGUCAGCUGGACACAUCACCUUGUCUCACGGGCUCUGUCAGGUCACACUGCUCUUGUGCA